rnacentral:tRNA from 2 species
CUAAAAGUCCUCUAACACA